UUUGCCUUUGACUACUGUCAGGCCUUUUAUGUUCUUCCUGUGGAUUUUGGGUCACUGUCAGAGAGACUGAGAGAGGGUGUGAAGGAAAUUUAAAUGUGGCUCUCCAAAGGAUGGGAGAGAAUACUGAGUGGCUGGUUGUCGUUUGGGGGAAGUACAGAAUGUGUGUCCUAUUUAUUGGAGUUCACCAGCCUUCUGGAAAACGUCCACACUGUCAGACUGAGGUUGAUCCCGAGGUCAGCAGAGGUCACUGGAUAAAGGUUAACAAAUUACCAGGAUGCCUCUCACACACCUGAUUGAUGUCGAGUGGGGGAGGGGAAUGUGUAUGGGGGUUAAGUCAAGAUAAGUGUUCCCGUUCUCUUGCCGCCUGAGCUCUCCUCACUGUACGCUCUGGCUUUGCCCUGCAGAGAACCUGCUAUUCAUUCAACACACACAAGUCGCCAAUGAAAACAGCCGGCGCCCCACAAGAACAAAGACACUAUCUACACACAUCAGGCGGUGGGUUAUAAGAAAGGGUGACGUGGAUCAGUGAAGGAGGGGAGGCUCCUGAUUUACUGACAGGACAAUUAGAGCCAGCAAAUCUUCUAUCGGAGCUACAUAUUCCAGAUAGGGUGGGCAUGCAGCGUGCAGGGUGGCGGACCCUCCAGGGGCGCCACGGAGGUGUUCAUGGUGAUUGAUUUAUCUGGGUGAAGGUAGGAGACAUAUAUGGAUCUGACUUCUGGUCUCUUUGGAGCUGUUGCUGCUUAUUAUGAUCCAAGAAAUCAAAACGCAUGAAGUGACAGUGAGUAGAUGGUUUUAUUCUGGUAGAUCAGAAUCUGUAACUACUGCUCCACAAAUAGAAACAGUCCUGAAGAUCAACCUGAAGAAAAUCCGGAAAGAUAAACUCCAGGAAUAGUUUCCAGGAUGGACAGAAAGCAUUUUGGAAGCAGAGGAGCAUGUUGAACAUAUUCCCUGCUGAUCCUCUCUCAGUCCCCACUGUAAAUAAAUAUAUCAGCUACGUCUGACUCCGUACACGCAACUUUUGACCCGUG